rnacentral:rRNA from 1 species
CAGUAGCCGCGGUAAUACGUAUGUCACAAGCGUUAUCCGGAUUUAUUGGGCGUAAAGCGCGUCUAGGUGGUUAUGUAAGUCUGAUGUGAAAAUGCAGGGCUCAACUCUGUAUUGCGUUGGAAACUGUGUAACUAGAGUACUGGAGAGGUAAGCGGAACUACAAGUGUAGAGGUGAAAUUCGUAGAUAUUUGUAGGAAUGCCGAUGGGGAAGCCAGCUUACUGGACAGAUGCUGACGCUGAAGCGCGAAAGCGUGGGUAGCAAACAGGAUUAGAUACCCGUGUAGUCCCUGUCUCUUAUACA